rnacentral:rRNA from 1 species
UAGGGAAUCUUCCACAAUGGGCGAAAGCCUGAUGGAGCAACGCCGCGUGUGUGAUGAAGGCUUUCGGUCGUAAAGCGCUGUUGUAUGGGAAGAACAGCUAGAAUAGGAAAUGAUUUUAGUUUGACGGUACCAUACCAGAAAGGGACGGCUAAAUACGUGCCAG